AAACCAACUGGGAUUACCUUAGUAACGGCGAGUGAAGCGGUAAAAGCUCAAAUUUGAAAUCUGGUACUUUCAGUGCCCGAGUUGUAAUUUGUAGAAUUUGUCUUUGAUUAGGUCCUUGUCUAUGUUCCUUGGAACAGGACGUCAUAGAGGGUGAGAAUCCCGUUUGGCGAGGAUACCUUUUCUCUGUAAGACUUUUUCGAAGAGUCGAGUUGUUUGGGAAUACAGCUCAAAGUGGGUGGUAAAUUCCAUCUAAAGCUAAAUAUUGGCGAGAGACCGAUAGCGAACAAGUACAGUGAUGGAAAGAUGAAAAGAACUUUGAAAAGAGAGUGAAACAGCACGUGAAAUUGUUGAAAGGGAAGGGUAUUGGGCUCGACAUGGGAUUUACGCAUCGUUGCCUCUCGUGGGCGGCGCUCUGGGGUUUUUCCUGGGCCAGCAUCGGUUUUCGUUGCAGGAUAAGGACAAUUGGAAUGUGGCUCCUCGGAGUGUUAUAGCCUUUUGUAGAUGCUGCGUAUGGGGGACCAGGGCUGC
rnacentral:rRNA from 1 species